GCCGGGCAUGGUAGCGCAUGCCUGUAGUCCCAGCUACUCGGGAGGCUGAGGCAGGAGAAUCGCUUGAACCCGGGAGGCAGAGGUUGCAAUGAGCCGAGAUCGCACCACUACACUCCAGCCUGGGUGACAGAGCGAGACUCUGUCUCAA
rnacentral:sRNA from 1 species